rnacentral:rRNA from 1 species
UCCGUAGGUGGACCGUUAAGUCAGAGGUGAAAUCCUGCAGCUCAACUGUAGAAUUGCCUUUGAUACUGGCGGUCUUGAAUCAUUGUGAAGUGGUUAGAAUAUGUGGUGUAGCGGUGAAAUGCAUAGAUAUCACAUAGAAUACCGAUUGCGAAGGCAGAUCACUAACAAUGUAUUGACACUGAUGGACGAAAGCGUGGGGAGCGAACAGGAUUAGAUACCCUGGUAGUCC